AUUACUUUUACGCUUACGAGACAUACAUAUUAACAACUCGCAUUAUUCGAAAACGUCGUCUGGGCUACCGUAUUUAUUACUACUGGGUAAAUCAAUCAGCCCAGGAUUUUCGACGACAAGUUUGCCACUUCGAUAGAUGACGGAGCUAAUUACAACCGUGAUACGAUAAGUACCAGUUAAAAAUGUACCUAGCACUAUUCAAAUACGCAUUCACUAGAAAGAUCGCUUUAUGUUACUCGGGGUAUUUUCAGACGUGUUCGCUAACAGCUGGAAGAAUUUAACAGUUUUUUGCGGAUAUACACGCGGGACGGAAUAGGUUGUUAUCGACGUAUAACAUUGUUCGCGGAUAGUUGAUGAUAUCAUAAGCCAGCAGCAGAUAGAUCUCCUCUGCCUUAUUGUAGUUCUUGAAACAUCGUUAUUGUUAGUCUGCAUUUUGAAUGACUGAUUAACGAAAAGCGAUAACGAAUCAAAAUUGAAAUUAGGCGCCAGCGAGCACAAAACGGUUCUAGUCGCUCAUUCAGUGAUCUUCAGACUGACGUAGCGACUUGGUAUAUGCCAAUGCCUAUCCUGUACGGAUAGAGCCUAGUGUUUACGUAAUCGUCCUUACAGCAAAAGUUUUUCGUAGCCACGUCUUGUCGCAGUAAUCGAAAGAGCUAAAUCGUGAAAGCAGUGUAUGGCAGUCUAAUCUAUGGCAGACCAAUCAGCUGCGUUAGCCAAAGUAAUUGACUGAGCAGAAUUGAGAAAUAUGCUUAUUGAUAAGUCGAAAGCGACUGUUAUUCGUUGAACCCCACGCGAUAAUCGGAAAUGCACACGAACUGAGAGGAGAAAGUUAAACGACAGGACAAUGUGUCGUCAACGCCGUGAUUGUUAAACGUUCAGGCGCGCAGUAAACGGCACAUUGUCAGGACAUCAUGGUCUAGAUUUUUUUCCGAUUCCCCUGAAAGGAAAAGUCGGUAUACAAAACUACGCGCACGCGGUAACAGAUCUAAGGGGUAAUUGAAAUUAUUACUGGGCUGCACGAAGCAGCCCCGGCUGGAAGCCGGGCUACAUGCUAAACGUCUCUGAAUGUCACGCAAGGAUAUACUGAACAGAUCUCAUUCAGUUUGCCUAACUGUUAAGCAACGAUACUGCCGCCUAUAUUCGCACAACAUUUUGGCAUGCCGGAACGAGGAUACAU
rnacentral:lncRNA from 1 species